rnacentral:rRNA from 1 species
AAGACGUGCGUAGGCGGCCAUUCAAGUCAGAGGUGAAAGCCCAGGGCUCAACCCUGGAACUGCCUUUGAAACUAGAUGGCUGGAACACGGGAGAGGUGAGUGGAAUUCCGAGUGUAGAGGUGAAAUUCGUAGAUAUUCGGAAGAACACCAGUGGCGAAGGCGGCUCACUGGACCGUUGUUGACGCUGAGGCACGAAAGCGUGGGGAGCAAACAGGAUUAGAUACCCGUGU